rnacentral:rRNA from 1 species
AGUGAACGCUGGCGGUAGGCCUAACACAUGCAAGUCGAACGGCAGCACAGUAAGAGCUUGCUCUUACGGGUGGCGAGUGGCGGACGGGUGAGGAAUACAUCGGAAUCUACUUUUUCGUGGGGGAUAACGUAGGGAAACUUACGCUAAUACCGCAUACGACCUACGGGUGAAAGCAGGGGAUCUUCGGACCUUGCGCGAUUGAAUGAGCCGAUGUCGGAUUAGCUAGUUGGCGGGGUAAAGGCCCACCAAGGCGACGAUCCGUAGCUGGUCUGAGAGGAUGAUCAGCCACACUGGAACUGAGACACGGUACAGACUCCUACGGGAGGCAGCAGUGGGGAAUAUUGGACAAUGGGCGCAAGCCUGAUCCAGCCAUACCGCGUGGGUGAAGAAGGCGUUCGGGUUGUAAAGCCCUUUUGUUGGGAAAGAAAAGCAGCAGGUUAAUACCCCGCUGUUCUGACGGUACCCAAAGAAUAAGCACCGGCUAACUUCGUG